CCUACGGGAGGCAGCAGUGAGGAAUAUUGCACAAUGAGCGAAAGCUAGAUGCAGCAACGCCGCGUGGACGAUGAAGGCCUUCGGGUCGUAAAGUCCUUUUCAGGGGGACGAGUGAGGACGGUACCCCUGGAAUAAGUCACGGCUAACUACGUGCCAGCAGCCGCGGUAAAACGUAGGUGGCGAGCGUUAUCCGGAUUCACUGGGCGUAAAGCGCCUGCAGGCGGUCUCGUAAGUGGGGUGUGAAAUCUCCUGGCUUAACUGGGAGGGGUCAUUCCAUACUGCGGGACUGGAGGGCAGAAGAGGGGAGUGGAAUUCCCGGUGUAGUGGUGAAAUGCGUAGAUAUCGGGAGGAACACCAGUGGCGAAGGCGACUCCCUGGUCUGCUCCUGACGCUAAGAGGCGAAAGCUAGGGGAGCGAACGGGAUUAGAAACCCCGGUAGUCCUAGCCAUAAACGAUGGAUACUGGGUGUCGGUGGUCCUAACCCCAUCGGUGCCGAAGCUAACGCGUUAAGUAUCCCGCCUGGGGACUACGGCCGCAAGGUUAAAACUCAAAGGAAUGACGG
rnacentral:rRNA from 1 species